GUUUACUGUGGAUUUUCAGUUCUUUUCAUCUCAUAAUUAUCUUUAUUUAUGUGUUAAGCUUUUAUUUUUCUUUUGGUCCUUCCCACUUGAGGCCUCUUGUGCACCUUGAUUUAGUUCUGUUCUUUAUUCGGUGCCAGUGUCUUAGGACAAUACUUUCAUGCAUGGAUUAUUUCCAGCAUUCAAAUUUGGAUACCUUUGUUCCACUAGGUUCGUUGCAUUCACCUUAUUGAAGAUAAUAAACACUUAUUGAGGAACAUGCUAAGGAUGGAGGAACGGACCUCAAGUUCCAGCUGCAUAUUAUUCAGCUUGAUUCAUUGCUCAGGAUUUUUGAAGAUAUGGCUUCUAAUUCCAUCAACCAAGAACUUAAUUCAGAAUCUAAAAUUUAAAGGUGAGGUAGAGGAAUAUUGCCUGUCCUGUCCAGAAACAAUGCUCGUUUUUUUAUUCCAGUCGAUGUAUUUCUUGUGUCUGAUGGAUUGAGUUUUGAGUUGGAACAUAAGUAUAUUAGUGUCAUAGAAUUUGCACAUAUGCUUUAUCCACUUGUGAUUACUAUUUACACAGCAUAUAUUUAUAUUUGGAUUACAGAUUCUCUGUACUUGUUGUUGUACUUUGUGUUUUCUACUGAUUGUGGUGCCUCUUGAAGCAGGGAAAGCUAGGAGUCAUUGAUGACAGGUACGGAAGUUGGUGGACACCUACAAGGAUGUGGAGGUGAGCAUCAUGGUGAUGCGGCACAACCUCGGGGCGGCGCUGGCCACCCUGAACACGUUCGAAAUCUUUGAGAAUGGCCAGUCACGGCGUUUGCGUUUGUUAGGCCGCGCGUGGGCGGUGCCAGCUUUAAGAAGCGGUUCCGCGUCUACCACGCCCUCCGUGUCCGCAUCGCCCGGGACAUCAUGUCCAGGUACUCGAAGCUGUUGUACCACACCAUGGGGUCCGAGUUGGCCAUCGACAUCGGCACGUCGCCAUACCUGAGGGCGUCGCUGUCCGGUUUAUUUUUGCUGUUCGGAUCCCGCAAGUUUCAGUUGGCGCGGGUGUACAGCAGAGGUAUAUAUGUGAUAAGGUGCUGUGAUCAUGAGAAAAAGUAAGGAACUGCACAUCUGGGCCUCACAUUAAUUACAAAUGUUCAGUGGCUUACAAAGGGUACAUUUUACCUUGUUUGAAUUUCGAAGAUUUAGGCCAUAUACAUUGGUAUGUGAGACGUUGUGUCUUCCCAUAGAGAUACCAUCUAGAUUUUUAUUUUAUUUUGGAGUUGGAAGAAGGAUGAAUAAGAUGGAAGGAUGCCCCUUAAUCCGUAAGAGAAUACAUUUAGGUCAAAAUAUAAUUCUGUGGCUGAACUUUUACACUGGUCAGGCUUAGGUUUGGGCUGAGCAAAUAGUUUAAUUGGUGUUAAUGAGCCCAACAAAUGCAAGUUCAUCGAUUUCUCAUGAUAUGCUUUUGAUCUUUACCAAAAUAUGCAUUAUACCAUAUUCAUAUGUUCGUUUCCUAUGUCAGGUAUGCCGUACAGAGGGGAUCAAGCUGUAUAUUGCUAUGUGGAAUGCUUUGAUUCGAGGUGCUGUCGGGUUGGGAGCAUGAAACAUGCUCUGUAGUUCUUUGGUUCAAUGCAGGAGGAAGGGAUGUACAUAGACCCGAAGAUCUUUAUUAAGAUCAUCCACGGGUUGUGGAAGCAAGGGGAGUGAGAUUAAAUCAAGAAGUUUUUUGACAAAAUGAGGAUUCAAUGGCUCAAGGAGAGUAAGCCCCAAGCUAGAUCAUUAUUGAUUUCCUUUAGUAGGAUGUCACAUAAUUCAUUUAGAGUGGAGCAGGAAUAUUCAAAAAGGAAAUGUACACCAUAUAUAUUAGUAUAAUACAUCUGACACUUUCUCAUCUUUCACUAAUAGCACAUUGAUCAUACCAUUUGCACAGCUCAUUCCGGUGUAAGUCGGGCCAAUUUAGAAAAUAUUUUAAAGCUGAUUCAUA